rnacentral:lncRNA from 1 species
AUGGUUAAAUGGUGAUGUUUAUGAUUUUGAGUGGAAAAUUCUGGAUUCAUGAGUUCUUUUUUCUUUUUCCUUUUUAGUUAUACUGUUUCUGAAACAAAUAUGACCAAAUGAAGAUAACGUUCUGAGAUUGAUAAUUUCCAUUUAGAUAUGAGUGCCAUUAGACAAUAAUAUUACAUUCUGAAGAUCAAUGAACUCUGUUUAGAUAUGAUUUCCAUUUAGAGAGUAUGAUUACAUUAUGAAGAAAUUAGACAAUAAGAUUACACAUGAUAGGAACUUUCGAAGUUCAGUUAACUUGCAGUUAGCAUUAUGGUUGACACCUGAGCAUAUUUUUCUCUCUAUCUACUGAUACAUUUAAACUCACUAUUAAGCAAGAUCAAGAUCCACGUUACCAAUUAAAAUGCAGUGCAAUUUUAUGUCUACAAAAGAGAAAAUACAAAAUACAUCAUGUGCUCCACAACCAAGGAGAUUUUAAUCCAAGUGUGGUUUUCAUAAAUAGUUUAAUGCCAGCUGUUCAUAGACCCUAUAUUUCAAUCCUAAUUGUAUUAUGUUCAUUACAAAAUAAACAAGAGAUCAUCUAUUUUUAGCAUAAAUUUUUCUGAUUGCUUCUUUGGUUCUUUUUCAUUUUUUUUUU